GGAAACCCCAGGUCAGGCGGGACUACCCG
rnacentral:rRNA from 1 species